AGUAAAAUGGCUGAGUAAAGCGUUAGACUGGAAAUCUAAGGACAGAAGUUGAAGCCCUCUUCUGGCCA
rnacentral:tRNA from 1 species